CACGUAGGCGGACUAUUAAGUCAGGGGUGAAAUCCCGGGGCUCAACCCCGGAACUGCCUUUGAUACUGCUAGUCUCGAGUCCGGAAGAGGUGAGUGGAAUUCCGAGUGUAGAGGUGAAAUUCGUAGAUAUUCGGAGGAACACCAGUGGCGAAGGCGGCUCACUGGUCCGGUACUGACGCUGAGGUGCGAAAGCGUGGGGAGGCAAAACA
rnacentral:rRNA from 1 species